AAAGAAAGCGUAAUAGCUCACUGGUCGAGUCGGCCUGCGCGGAAGAUGUAACGGGGCUAAACCAUGCACCGAAGCUGCGGCAGCGACGCUUAUGCGUUGUUGGGUAGGGGAGCGUUCUGUAAGCCUGUGAAGGUGGCCUGUGAGGGUUGCUGGAGGUAUCAGAAGUGCGAAUGCUGACAUAAGUAACGAUAAAGCGGGUGAAAAGCCCGCUCGCCGGA
rnacentral:rRNA from 1 species